UCAGUGCAAUAAAUUUCGUCGUUCUCCGAUUUCGCUUUCGAUUUCGCUGCCACUCUCUGUUGGCGGUCUUUAGCAAUUCGCCCGAUAUAAUGACAGAUUUCGCCGGCCGUCUCAAUGUUUACACAUUUUUCUCAUUGUUCUCGGUCCACCAGCUGAUCAUGUUUACACAACAAAAUUAGCUGGACAUCCGAUGUUUACGUUCAUCCUCAUUGUUCGGCGACCACCAGCUGAUCUUGUUGUCAUAACAAACCGCGCUAAUUUCUCCUGAAUCAUGGCUCGAAAGCGAAAAGCUGUCGGAGAUGACAGAUUUGUACGAUUUUGGGGCGAUUUCAAUUUCGUCGUGGAAGUCUGAUUAUUCGUAAAAAAUACAAUAUUGUAGCAGAAAAUAAAUCUUUGGAAUCAAAGGUGAUAAACAACCUUCACGGAAGAUUCUGCCAUACCGUUUGGGACCUCAAUUUAUAUUCGCGUGUACACCCAUCCAAUGACUCAUCGUUCCGGAGGCCGACAAUCGAUUCAUUCUGAUCCUCUUUGGAAGGAUGAAUCCCGCGGAUUAUCAAUGGAGUCGAACCGUCUACGUGAGAAGAAAUCCGUUUACGUAAAGAACGGGAAAAGUGUUUCUCAGACCGAUGAGGAUCCGCCCCACCGAAGAAAGGUCUUCCGUGAGCAUCAAUGUAGGUAGGUGGUAGUUGCUCCAGUAAUAUCACGGAAUUUGCGCUAACGGCCAGUAUAACCCGUGAGGCACAAUUACCGUCUGCAAAAUCCAGCGUUCGACAUCAGUUCGAUUAGAUUGGAGAUUCCGCCACAACCGUAUGGAAAGGUCUGUAUAUACUACGCGUUUCCAGAUGUAUUUUUGUGAAUAGUAUAAAAAUCAAUAAAUCAGAGAGCUUAAAAAAAUUGUA